GUGGAGGCGCCUACGCAUGUGGGCGUGUCAUUCCGGGGAGUGUCUGUGUUCAGCCAAUCAAACCUUAGAAGUGAGAUCGGUGGGCGUGACCACUCCGCCCACACUACCCUGUCCCAGCUGCAGCAUGCUUUUGUUCAAACUCAGAAGUGAGACAGUCGGUCCUCAACAGAGGUGCACUUUUACAUUACUUACCCGAUGAGUUCAUAAAACGCUGACAACAACAGUGUCUCUCUUGUCGAGCGCAUUGAAUUUGAUGUAUUUUUAACCAGCAGGGUACCAGUUUUGGAAACCAAAUUAGUUUCUGUUGGACUUUGGUCGCAUGCCGUUGUUCAAACAGGCACAGCAAGGUGUCGCGAGCAACUGGAGUGCUGGAAGAGAAGAGAAGAGGAAUUUUCCUUGAACUAGUUCUUUGUCGGUUUUGUUGGAGUGUGACUGCUGUCAUGUACACUUAGACAUUUUACAUGUUCUUUGACCGAGAAGAGAGAGUAAGCUUAUGCUACCCUUCAUCCUCCUCGCUGGAUAUCUAUGGAGAGGGUGUCCUCCUGUAUGCUCUCUCGCAGCUCUUGGAGUUACUUGCGGCCGAAGCAACACCGUGAGUGUUGAAUUCACCAACCUGGAUAGCAGAAGACGACACACUUAACCUUAUUUGAAUGCCUUUGCAAGGAGUUUGCUGGUUUCUGUGCUGCAGGCAGGGCUUUAAUUUGCUCGGACGGGACUAUGGGGAGAAAGAGGAGGAAGAGUCUUUUGAAUUGCGCAACAAGGAGGACUUAACUCCCAAUGGACGGAGUCCAGCUGAGGUGACUGUUUCUCAACCAACUCGAACAGCCAAUGGAACAAAUGGGCACACUGUGUCAGAGUUGUCUGAUGAGAUGAAGAGCCUGAUCAUUGAGAAGAAUAAGAUGGGCCUGGAGGAAGACCCUGAGCUGCUGGUCAAAGGUAAGUUCGACUCAUACAACAAACACAGCACAUAACACCAACAUUACUCUGGUAUUCCUUCAACUGAGUGAAUAUACCUGCUAUGUUCAGUUGUGGUGAACAUUGUUAUCCAGCUGAAACAAUAGGUCAGUUGGCCAAAAAAUUUGAUCAGCAAUUUAUUACUUAAGCAAAAAUGCUAACUCAUUCACUAGUUCAGCUUCUUAAAUGCAAGAGUUUUCUGGUUUUUUUUUUUUGUUUUCUAUUAAUGCAAAUUGAAUAUCUUUGUAUUUUGGACUGUUGGUUAGACAAAACAUGCAAUUAGUAGACGUCACCAAAGGGCUCUUAUAGACUAAAAAUGUAAUAGAUUCAUUAGAAACUAUCCAUAGACGAAUCAAUAAUGAAAAUAAUCUUGAGUUGCAGCACUACUUCCUUCAGUUAAUGAAUGAGGUCCUUGUGGGCCUUGGUUGGUGGUGGUCAUUUUAUUAAGUAUAGUAUAUAUUUCAUUACCCUAAUUGUCUCCUAAUAAGUACUGUCGCAGCUCCAUGCUGCGCGAUCGCCCCGUAGUGAACCCCUCUCUGACCACAUGUGGCCCACAGCUGCUCCCACUCGCCCACUCCUGCUCUGUGUGUUCAUGUAAGGAUAGCUACUGGCAUCAGGAGCGCCGUCUUGGGUGUCUGAUGCUUUUGAGGAAUGAUCUCAUAAGAUAUUUCUGUGUGUUUUUUUUUUUUUUCUUCUUUUUUUUCUUCUUGGCCUGCUACUGAAAGGGAGCAGUAAAAUGCCAGCACUUGGAUAAGUUACGUCCUGUUUGGAAUGGCGGCAGUCAGAUUGCCUAAUUCUGACAGCAGUUACUAUGCACCCUUGGCUAGUGCCCCUCCCUCACUGCUGUCCCCCUCUCCUUCCCUGUCUCACUGUUGGAGGAGCUACUUUUUCUGGGGGGGCCAUUGAUUACACUGUUAUUUGGGAUUUCAGCUUUUGCACCACGCCCCCAUCCUUCAACCAAUCACAAUAUUAUAGCCACCAUAACAGCAGGACACCUCAGGGCCUUUUAUAAUCCCUCUCAUUUCUCUCUGUUUGUUGCACAAGGAUAUGUUUUCAACAGUUCCUCCAUUAGGGCCUUUCUACUUGUUCUGUAUGUUUGUUUGUUUUUUUCAGCAGGACAUGUUGAGGCUAUAUGGGGUUAAUAUUGCCCCAGUAUCUACAAUAGGCCACCAACAUUGUAGAUAUAGACUGGUAAUGGAAGGAUGACUUGUAAAAGCCAUGGGGCGGCGGCGACAGAAAGAGAUGUUAAAACAUUGGUUUCCUGACAUACCUUUGUUGAUUUACUGUUAAAAUUAAUUUCUCCUCAUGUGAUGCACAGCCUCUCAUGUUCUGUUUGAUCCGAAAGGAGGAAGAAAGUGCAGUUGAGUUUCUUGUACAUAAAUGUAGAGUUCAGGUCCAGUUUAUGCUUCUGUCUUCUUUUAAAGUGCUUUUUCAUUAUUUAAGUCCAUUUGCAUUUUUAAAAUUCUGAAGUAUAAAUUCAUGAACAGCCAACUGACAACAUUAGAGCAAGGUGAAAAAAUAUCUUUUAAAAAAACCCCUAAAAUUUUAGUUUAAGCCAAUGUUUUUUGUUUUUUCAUGUUUUGACCUUUUUUUGUGAAAUGCCAGCAUGCAUAUGCCUGCAGAACAGUUUUUUGAAACAUGUGCAGUACUCUGGGAUUGACAGGAGGCUUGCAGUGAAGAGAAAGAAAUACACAGAGAGAGAUUGUUUGCUCAAUCUGUG
rnacentral:lncRNA from 1 species